rnacentral:rRNA from 1 species
GACGAACGCUGGCUGCGUGCUUAACUCAUGCAAGUCGAACGAAGUGGCGAACGGGUGAGUAAUACGUGGGUAACCUGCCCUCCUUUUUGGGAUAAGCCUUGGAAACGGGGUCUAAUAUCGAAUAAAGGGGGAUGGGCUCGCGGCCUAUCAGCUUGUUGGUGGGGUGAUGGCCUACGAAGGCGGUGACGGGUAGCCGGCCUGAGAGGGUGAACGGAAACAAGGGGACUGAGGUACGGCCCAGACACCUACGGGAGGCAGCAGUGGGAGAUAUUGCACAAUGGGCGAAAGACUGAUGCAGCAACGCCGCAUGGGGGAUGAAAACUUUCGGGUUGUAAACCUAUUUCGGUAUCGAAGGGGUAGAUGAAGAAAAAGGGCCGGCUAACUACGUGCCAGCAGACGCAGUAAUUC